ACGCUGCAUCGUGGCGAUUUGUUCACCGGAUUGCGGGCCACGUUAAACAAUCCCGCUAAAGAGGUCAGGAGAAAGAGCCC
rnacentral:ncRNA from 2 species